UACUUCCUGUCUCUGUGAAUUUGCCUAUUCUGCAUAUUUCAUCUAAAUUGAAUCAUACAACAUGUCAUCUUUUGUGACUUGCUUCUUUCACCGAGUAUAGUGUUCUCAAGGUCUUCCAUCUUGUAGCGU